GGGUUGUGAGGUUAAGCGACUAAGCGUACACGGUGGAUGCCCUGGCAGUCAGAGGCGAUGAAGGACGUGCUAAUCUGCGAAAAGCGCCGGCGAGGUGAUAUGAACCCUUGACCCGGCGAUGUCCGAAUGGGGAAACCCAGUGCAAUCCGUUGCACUAUCGUUAACUGAAUACAUAGGUUAACGAGGCGAACCGGGGGAACUGAAACAUCUAAGUACCCCGAGGAAAAGAAAUCAACCGAGAUUCCCCAGUAGCGGCGAGCGAACGGGGAGCAGCCAGAGUCUGAAUCAGCUUGUGUGUUAGUGGAACGGUCUGGAAAGUCCGACGGUACAGGGUGAUAGUCCCGUACACGAAAGCACACUUGCUGUGAACUCGAAGAGUAGGGCGGGACACGUGGUAUCCUGUCUGAAUAUGGGGACCAUCCUCCAAGGCUAAAUACUCCUGACUGACCGAUAGUGAACCAGUACCGUGAGGGAAAGGCGAAAAGAACCCCGGCGAGGGGAGUGAAAAGAACCUGAAACCGUGUACGUACAAGCAGUGGGAGCCUCUUUAUGGGGUGACUGCGUACCUUUGUAUAAUGGGUCAGCGACUUAUAUUCUGUAGCAAGGUUAACCGUAUAGGGGAGCCGAAGGAAACCGAGUCUUAACUGGGCGUUAAGUUGCAGGGUAUAGACCCGAAACCCGGUGAUCUAGCCAUGGGCAGGUUGAAGGUUGGGUAACACUAACUGGAGGACCGAACCGACUAAUGUUGAAAAAUUAGCGGAUGACCUGUGGCUGGGGGUGAAAGGCCAAUCAAACCGGGAGAUAGCUGGUUCUCCCCGAAAGCUAUUUAGGUAGCGCCUCGUGAACUCAUCUUCGGGGGUAGAGCACUGUUUCGGCUAGGGGCCAUCCCGGCUUACCAACCCGAUGCAAACUACGAAUACCGAAGAAUGUUAUCACGGGAGACACACGGCGGGUGCUAACGUCCGUCGUGAAGAGAAACAACCCAGACCGCCAGCUAAGGUCCCAAAGUCAUGGUUAAGUGGGAAACGAUGUGGGAAGGCACAGACAGCCAGGAUGUUGGCUUAGAAGCAGCCAUCAUUUAAAGAAAGCGUAAUAGCUCACUGGUCGAGUCGGCCUGCGCGGAAGAUGUAACGGGGCUAAACCAUGCACCGAAGCUGCGGCAGCGACGCUUAUGCGUUGUUGGGUAGGGGCGUUCUGUAAGCCGUUGAAGGUGGCCUGUGAGGGUUGCUGGAGGUAUCAGAAGUGCGAAUGCUGACAUAAGUAACGAUAAAGCGGGUGAAAAGCCCGCUCGCCGGAAGACCAAGGGUUCCUGUCCAACGUUAAUCGGGGCAGGGUGAGUCGACCCUAAGGCGAGGCCGAAAGGCGUAGUCGAUGGGAAACAGGUUAAUAUUCCUGUACUUGGUGUUACUGCGAAGGGGGACGGAGAAGGCUAUGUCAGCCGGGCGACGGUUGUCCCGGUUUAAGCAUGUAGGCGGAGGUUCGGUAAAUCCGGUACCUUAUUAACGCUGAGGUGUGAUGACGAGGCACUACGGUGCUGAAGUGAUAAAUGCCCUGCUUCCGGAAAAGCCUCUAAGCAUCAGGUAACACGAAAUCGUACCCCAAACCGACACAGGUGGUCAGGUAGAGAAUACCAAGGCGCUUGAGAGAACUCGGGUGAAGGAACUAGGCAAAAUGGUGCCGUAACUUCGGGAGAAGGCACGCUGAUGUGUAGGUGAAGCCCCUGCGGGUGGAGCUGAAAUCAGUCGAAGAUACCAGCUGGCUGCAACUGUUUAUUAAAAACACAGCACUGUGCAAACACGAAAGUGGACGUAUACGGUGUGACGCCUGCCCGGUGCCGGAAGGUUAAUUGAUGGGGUUAGCGGCAACGCGAAGCUCUUGAUCGAAGCCCCGGUAAACGGCGGCCGUAACUAUAACGGUCCUAAGGUAGCGAAAUUCCUUGUCGGGUAAGUUCCGACCUGCACGAAUGGCGUAAUGAUGGCGGGCUGUCUCCACCCGAGACUCAGUGAAAUUGAACUCGCUGUGAAGAUGCAGUGUACCCGCGGCAAGACGGAAAGACCCCGUGAACCUUUACUAUAGCUUGACACUGAACACUGGUCCUUGAUGUGUAGGAUAGGUGGGAGGCUUUGAAGCGUGGACGCCAGUCUGCGUGGAGCCAACCUUGAAAUACCACCCUUUAAUGGCUGGUGUUCUAACGUAGACCCGUAAUCCGGGUUGCGGACAGUGUCUGGUGGGUAGUUUGACUGGGGCGGUCUCCUCCCAAAGAGUAACGGAGGAGCACGAAGGUUGGCUAAUCUGGUCGGACAUCAGGAGGUUAGUGCAAUGGCAUAAGCCAGCUUGACUGCGAGCGUGACGGCGCGAGCAGGUGCGAAAGGUCAUAGUGAUCCGGUGGUUCUGAAUGGAAGGGCCAUCGCUCAACGGAUAAAAGGUACUCCGGGGAUAACAGGCUGAUACCGCCCAAGAGUUCAUAUCGACGGCGGUGUUUGGCACCUCGAUGUCGGCUCAUCACAUCCGGGGCUGAAGUAGGUCCCAAGGGUAUGGCUGUUCGCCAUUUAAAGUGGUACGCGAGCUGGGUUUAGAACGUCGUGAGACAGUUCGGUCCCUAUCUGCCGUGGGCGCUGGAGAAUUGAGGGGCUGCUCCUAGUACGAGAGGACCGGAGUGGACGCAUCACUGGUGUUCGGGUUGUCAUGCCAAUGGCACUGCCCGGUAGCUAAAUGCGGAAGAGAUAAGUGCUGAAAGCAUCUAAGCACGAAACUUGCCCCGAGAUGAGUUCUCCCUGAGACCUUGAGUCUCCUGAAGGAACGUUGAAGACGACGACGUUGAUAGGUCGGGUGUGUAAGCGCAGCGAUGCGUUGAGCUAACCGAUACUAAUGAACCGUGAGGCUUAACCUUACAACGCCGAAGGUGUUU
rnacentral:rRNA from 1 species